rnacentral:rRNA from 1 species
UGGGGAAUAUUGGACAAUGGGGGGAACCCUGAUCCAGCCAUGCCGCGUGUGUGAAGAAGGCAUUAUGGUUGUAAAGCACUUUAAGCGAGGAGGAGGGUACUGGUAUUAAUACUACCAGGUACUGGACGUUACUCGCAGAAUAAGCACCGGCUAACUCUGUGCCAGCAGCCGCGGUAAUACAGAGGGUGCGAGCGUUAAUCGGAUUUACUGGGCGUAAAGCGUGCGUAGGCGGCUAAUUGAGUCGGAUGUGAAAUCCCCGAGCUUCACUUUGGAAUUGCAUUCGAUACUGGUUAGCUAGAGUGUCGGAGAGGAUGGUAGAAUUCCAGGUGUAGCGGUGAAAUGCGUAGAGAUCUGGAGGAAUACCGAUGGCGAAGGCAGCCAUCUGGCCUAACACUGACGCUGAGGUACGAAAGCAUGGGGAGCAAACAGG